GGGUUGUGAGGUUAAGCGACUAAGCGUACACGGUGGAUGCCCUGGCAGUCAGAGGCGAUGAAGGGCGUGCUAAUCUGCGAUAAGCGCCGGUAAGGUGAUAUGAACCGUUAUAACCGGCGAUACCCGAAUGGGGAAACCCAGUGUGAUUCGUCACACUAUCAUUAACUGAAUCCAUAGGUUAAUGAGGCGAACCGGGGGAACUGAAACAUCUAAGUACCCCGAGGAAAAGAAAUCAACCGAGAUUCCCCCAGUAGCGGCGAGCGAACGGGGAGGAGCCCAGAGCCUGAAUCAGCAUGUGUGUUAGUGGAAGCGUCUGGAAAGGCGCGCGAUACAGGGUGACAGCCCCGUACACAAAAGCGCAUGUGUUGUGAGCUCGAUGAGUAGGGCGGGACACGUGGUAUCCUGUCUGAAUAUGGGGGGACCAUCCUCCAAGGCUAAAUACUCCUGACUGACCGAUAGUGAACCAGUACCGUGAGGGAAAGGCGAAAAGAACCCCGGCGAGGGGAGUGAAAAAGAACCUGAAACCGUGUACGUACAAGCAGUGGGAGCACAGGUUUACCUGUGUGACUGCGUACCUUUUGUAUAAUGGGUCAGCGACUUAUAUUCUGUAGCAAGGUUAACCGCAUAGGGGAGCCGGAGGGAAACCGAGUCUUAAUUGGGCGUUAAGUUGCAGGGUAUAGACCCGAAACCCGGUGAUCUAGCCAUGGGCAGGUUGAAGGUUGGGUAACACUAACUGGAGGACCGAACCGACUAAUGUUGAAAAAUUAGCGGAUGACCUGUGGCUGGGGGUGAAAGGCCAAUCAAACCGGGAGAUAGCUGGUUCUCCCCGAAAGCUAUUUAGGUAGCGCCUCGUGAAUUCAUCUCCGGGGGUAGAGCACUGUUUCGGCUAGGGGGCCAUCCCGGCUUACCAACCCGAUGCAAACUGCGAAUACCGGAGAAUGUUAUCACGGGAGACACACGGCGGGUGCUAACGUCCGUCGUGAAGAGGGAAACAACCCAGACCGCCAGCUAAGGUCCCAAAGUCAUGGUUAAGUGGGAAACGAUGUGGGAAGGCCCAGACAGCCAGGAUGUUGGCUUAGAAGCAGCCAUCAUUUAAAGAAAGCGUAAUAGCUCACUGGUCGAGUCGGCCUGCGCGGAAGAUGUAACGGGGCUAAACCAUGCACCGAAGCUGCGGCAGCGACACUGUGUGUUGUUGGGUAGGGGAGCGUUCUGUAAGCCUGUGAAGGUGGCCUGUGAGGGUUGCUGGAGGUAUCAGAAGUGCGAAUGCUGACAUAAGUAACGAUAAAGCGGGUGAAAAGCCCGCUCGCCGGAAGACCAAGGGUUCCUGUCCAACGUUAAUCGGGGCAGGGUGAGUCGACCCCUAAGGCGAGGCCGAAAGGCGUAGUCGAUGGGAAACGGGUUAAUAUUCCCGUACUUGGUGUUACUGCGAAGGGGGGACGGAGAAGGCUAUGUUGGCCGGGCGACGGUUGUCCCGGUUUAAGCGUGUAGGUGUGUGUUCCAGGUAAAUCCGGUUCACUUUAACACUGAGGCGUGAUGACGAGGCACUACGGUGCUGAAGCAACAAAUGCCCUGCUUCCAGGAAAAGCCUCUAAGCAUCAGGUAACAUCAAAUCGUACCCCAAACCGACACAGGUGGUCAGGUAGAGAAUACCAAGGCGCUUGAGAGAACUCGGGUGAAGGAACUAGGCAAAAUGGUGCCGUAACUUCGGGAGAAGGCACGCUGACACGUAGGUGAAGUGAUUUACUCAUGGAGCUGAAGUCAGUCGAAGAUACCAGCUGGCUGCAACUGUUUAUUAAAAACACAGCACUGUGCAAACACGAAAGUGGACGUAUACGGUGUGACGCCUGCCCGGUGCCGGAAGGUUAAUUGAUGGGGUCAGCGCAAGCGAAGCUCCUGAUCGAAGCCCCGGUAAACGGCGGCCGUAACUAUAACGGUCCUAAGGUAGCGAAAUUCCUUGUCGGGUAAGUUCCGACCUGCACGAAUGGCGUAAUGAUGGCCAGGCUGUCUCCACCCGAGACUCAGUGAAAUUGAACUCGCUGUGAAGAUGCAGUGUACCCGCGGCAAGACGGAAAGACCCCGUGAACCUUUACUAUAGCUUGACACUGAACAUUGAGCCUUGAUGUGUAGGAUAGGUGGGAGGCUUUGAAGUGUGGACGCCAGUCUGCAUGGAGCCGACCUUGAAAUACCACCCUUUAAUGUUUGAUGUUCUAACGUGGACCCGUGAUCCGGGUUGCGGACAGUGUCUGGUGGGUAGUUUGACUGGGGCGGUCUCCUCCUAAAGAGUAACGGAGGAGCACGAAGGUUGGCUAAUCCUGGUCGGACAUCAGGAGGUUAGUGCAAUGGCAUAAGCCAGCUUGACUGCGAGCGUGACGGCGCGAGCAGGUGCGAAAGCAGGUCAUAGUGAUCCGGUGGUUCUGAAUGGAAGGGCCAUCGCUCAACGGAUAAAAGGUACUCCGGGGAUAACAGGCUGAUACCGCCCAAGAGUUCAUAUCGACGGCGGUGUUUGGCACCUCGAUGUCGGCUCAUCACAUCCUGGGGCUGAAGUAGGUCCCAAGGGUAUGGCUGUUCGCCAUUUAAAGUGGUACGCGAGCUGGGUUUAGAACGUCGUGAGACAGUUCGGUCCCUAUCUGCCGUGGGCGCUGGAGAACUGAGGGGGGCUGCUCCUAGUACGAGAGGACCGGAGUGGACGCAUCACUGGUGUUCGGGUUGUCAUGCCAAUGGCACUGCCCGGUAGCUAAAUGCGGAAGAGAUAAGUGCUGAAAGCAUCUAAGCACGAAACUUGCCCCGAGAUGAGUUCUCCCUGAGACUUAAAGUCUCCUGAAGGAACGUUGAAGACGACGACGUUGAUAGGCCGGGUGUGUAAGCGCAGCGAUGCGUUGAGCUAACCGGUACUAAUGAACCGUGAGGCUUAACCUUACAACGCCGAAG
rnacentral:rRNA from 3 species